rnacentral:rRNA from 1 species
UAGGGAAUCUUCCGCAAUGGACGCAAGUCUGACGGAGCAACGCCGCGUGAGUGAAGAAGGAUUUCGGUUCGUAAAACUCUGUUGUUAGAGAAGAACAGCGCAUAGAGUAACUGUUAUGCGUGUGACGGUAUCUAACCAGAAAGGGACGGCUAACUACGUGCCAGCAGCCGCGGUAAUACGUAGGUCCCGAGCGUUGUCCGGAUUUAUUGGGCGUAAAGCGAGCGCAGGCGGUUAGAAAAGUCUGAAGUGAAAGGCAGUGGCUCAACCAGUGUAGGCUUUGGAAACUGUUUAACUUGAGUGCAGAAGGGGAGAGUGGAAUUCCAUGUGUAGCGGUGAAAUGCGUAGAUAUAUGGAGGAACACCGGUGGCGAAAGCGGCUCUCUGGUCUGUAACUGACGCUGAGGCUCGAAAGCGUGGGGAGCGAACAGG